GACGAACGCUGGCGGCGCGCCUAACACAUGCAAGUCGAACGAGCGAGAGAGAGCUUGCUUUCUCGAGCGAGUGGCGAACGGGUGAGUAACGCGUGAGGAACCUGCCUCAAAGAGGGGGACAACAGUUGGAAACGACUGCUAAUACCGCAUAAGCCCACGACCCGGCAUCGGGUUGAGGGAAAAGGAGUGAUCCGCUUUGAGAUGGCCUCGCGUCCGAUUAGCUAGUUGGUGAGGUAACGGCCCACCAAGGCGACGAUCGGUAGCCGGACUGAGAGGUUGAACGGCCACAUUGGGACUGAGACACGGCCCAGACUCCUACGGGAGGCAGCAGUGGGGAAUAUUGCACAAUGGGGGAAACCCUGAUGCAGCGACGCCGCGUGGAGGAAGAAGGUCUUCGGAUUGUAAACUCCUGUUGUUGGGGAAGAUAAUGACGGUAC
rnacentral:rRNA from 1 species